GUUCCGUAGGUGAACCUGCGGAAGGAUCAUUACAGUAGUCACCCAGGUUGCCGCAAGGCCUCCUGGGUAACCUACCACCCUUUGUUUAUUACACUUUGUUGCUUUGGCAAGCCUGCCCUCGGGCUGCUGGCUCCGGCCGGCGAGCGCUUGCCAGAGGACCUAAACUCUGUUUGUCUAUACUGUCUGAGUACCAUAUAAUAGUUAAAACUUUCAACAACGGAUCUCUUGGUUCUG
rnacentral:misc_RNA from 1 species